AUUGAACGCUGGCGGCAGGCCUAACACAUGCAAGUCGAGCGGCAGCGGGAAAGUAGCUUGCUACUUUUGCCGGCGAGCGGCGGACGGGUGAGUAAUGCCUGGGGAUCUGCCCAGUCGAGGGGGAUAACAGUUGGAAACGACUGCUAAUACCGCAUACGCCCUACGGGGGAAAGGAGGGGACCUUCGGGCCUUUCGCGAUUGGAUGAACCCAGGUGGGAUUAGCUAGUUGGUGGGGUAAUGGCUCACCAAGGCGACGAUCCCUAGCUGGUCUGAGAGGAUGAUCAGCCCCACUGGAACUGAGACACGGUCCAGACUCCUACGGGAGGCAGCAGUGGGGAAUAUUGCACAAUGGGGGAAACCCUGAUGCAGCCAUGCCGCGUGUGUGAAGAAGGCCUUCGGGUUGUAAAGCACUUUCAGCGAGGAGGAAAGGUUGUUGGCUAAUACCCAGCAACUGUGACGUUACUCGCAGAAGAAGCACCGGCUAACUCCGUGCCAGCCGCCGCCGUAA
rnacentral:rRNA from 1 species